rnacentral:rRNA from 1 species
GCCCCAAGAGAUCGGGGAUAACACCUGGAAACAGAUGCUAAUACCGGAUAACAACAGAUGAUGCCUAUCAACUGUUUUAAAAGAUGGUUCUGCUAUCACUCUUGGGAUGGACCUGCGGUGCAUUAGCUAGUUGGUAGGGUAACGGCCUACCAAGGCGAUGAUGCAUAGCCCGAGUUUGAGAGACUGAUCGGCCACAUUGGGACUGAGACACGGCCCAAAACUCCUACGGGAGGCAGCAGUAGGGAAAUCUUCCACAAUGGACGCAAGUCUGAUGGAGCAACGCCGCGUGAGUGAAGAAGGGUUUCGGCUCGUAAAGCUCUGUUGUUGGUGAAGAAGGACAGGGGUAGUAACUGACCUUUGUUUGACGGUAAUCAAUUAGAAAGUCACGGCUAACUACGUGCCCAGCAGCCGCGGGUAAU